rnacentral:rRNA from 1 species
GCAAGACGAACGCUUUGUAAAGGAGCUUGCUUCCUUACGAGGAGUGGCGAACGGGUGAGUAAUACAUAAGCAAUCUGCCCAUCGGCCUGGGAUAACAGUUGGAAACGACUGCUAAUACCGGAUAGGUUAGUUUCUGGCAUCAGGAACUAAUUAAAGUUGGGAUACAACACGGAUGGAUGAGCUUAUGGCGUAUUAGCUAGUAGGUGAGGUAACGGCUCACCUAGGCGAUGAUACGUAGCCGACCUGAGAGGGUGACCGGCCACAUUGGGACUGAGACACGGCCCAAACUCCUACGGGAGGCAGCAGUAGGGAAUUUUGGCAAUGGGCGAAAGCCUGACCGAGCAACGCCGCGUGAGUGAAGAAGGCCUUCGGGUUGUAAAGCUCUGUUGUGAAGGAAGAACGGCUCAUAGAGGGAAUGCUAUGGGAGUGACGGUACUUUACCAGAAAGCCACGGCUAACUACGUGCCAGCAGCCGCGGUAAUACGUAGGUGGCGAGCGUUAUCCGGAAUUAUUGGGCGUAAAGGGUGCGCAGGCGGUUUGAAAAGUUUAAGGUGAAAGCGUGGGGCUUAACCCCAUACAGCCUUAGAAACUGUCAGACUAGAGUACAGGAGAGGGCAAUGGAAUUCCAUGUGUAGCGGUAAAAUGCGUAGUUAUAUGGAGGAACACCAGUGGCGAAGGCGGUUGCCUGGCCUGUAACUGACGCUCAUGCACGAAAGCGUGGGGAGCAAAUAGGAUUAGAUACCCUAGUAGUCCACGCCGUAAACGAUGAGAACUAAGUGUUGGGGAAACUCAGUGCUGCAGUUAACGCAAUAAGUUCUCCGCCUGGGGAGUAUGCACGCAAGUGUGAAACUCAAAGGAAUUGACGGGGGCCCGCACAAGCGGUGGAGUAUGUGGUUUAAUUCGACGCAACGCGAAGAACCUUACCAGGUCUUGACAUACCAGGCAAAGCUAUAGAGAUAUAGUGGAGGUUAUCCUGGAUACAGGUGGUGCAUGGUUGUCGUCAGCUCGUGUCGUGAGAUGUUGGGUUAAGUCCCGCAACGAGCGCAACCCUUGUCUUUAGUUACUAACAUUAAGUUGAGGACUCUAGAGAGACUGCCGGUGACAAACCGGAGGAAGGUGGGGAUGACGUCAAAUCAUCAUGCCCCUUAUGACCUGGGCUACACACGUACUACAAUGGCGGAUACAACGAGAAGCAAGACAGCAAUGUGGAGCAAACCUCAGAAAGUCCGUCUCAGUUCGGAUUGAAGUCUGCAACCCGACUUCAUGAAGCCGGAAUCGCUAGUAAUCGCGGAUCAGCAUGCCGCGGUGAAUACGUUCUCGGGCCUUGCAC